GUCUGACUUGGCUCUGGGGGAGUUUUUGGGUGAUCGUUUUGAGUGAUCCGGGGAGAGAAAGGGUCUGGGGGAGGUUUUGGGUAAUCCGGGGAGAGAAAGGGUCUGGGGGAGGUGUUGGGUGAUUGUUUUGAGUGAUCCGGGGAGAGAAAGGGUCUGGGGGAGGUGUUGGGUGAUUGUUUUGAGUGAUCCGGGGAGAGAAAGGGUCUGGGGGAGGUGUUGGGUGAUUGUUUUGAGUGAUCCGGGGAGGAAAGGGUAUGGGAGAGGUUUUGGGUGAUCCUGGGGGAGAAAGGGUUUGGGGGAGAUCUAGGGUGAUCCUGGGAGAAGCCUUGGGUGAUUCUGGGGGCAGAAAGGGUUUGGGGGAGGCUUUGGGUGACCGGUGAUGUGAUGUGUUUGAGCAGCCUGCCGCCAGGACCGUCUUGGCGGCGGGACGUCACCUCUGCUGCUCCUAAGGAAACUCAGCGGCCUUUCCCUCCCUUAUUUCUCCCCUCCGGCGCCUCCUGCACCUAGCUGCCGAUACAAAGGCCUGGCUGGGAGAAAUCUCAAGCCACCUGUGAGAUCAGUGAAGAGCGGCGCCCGUUCCAUGUAUUAUUCCUCAAGGGCGGGGAGGCCAGCUGGCCAAGUCGUCUGUGACAUCAAGAUCAAGCUCCCUGCCCCGCCCUGCUGAUGCCCGCUGCCCCGAGGGUGAGUUUUGGGUGGUGGCCAGGCGCCUUGUUCACCCGUGCCAUCAGGAUCACCCGCUGCCCCCAGGCUCUGAGCGCUCUCGUCUUGUGGCGAACAAAGGGAACCCACUGCUGUCUUCAACUUGUACAAACAGGAUGCUCGUCACCACUCAUAACCAAGGCAUUACUGGUGAGAGAAAUCCAUCGUCAGCACACUGUCAGCACAUCAUCACUAGACUGUCAGCACAUCAUCACUAGACUGUCAGCACAUCAUCACCACACUGUCAGCAUGUCACCACCAGACUGUCGGCACAUCAUCACCACACUGUCAGCACAUCACUACCAGACUGUUGGCACAUCAUCACCACACUGUCAGCACGUCACCACCAGACUGUCAUCACGUCGUCACCCUCAUAAACAUUCUGCCUGUCAGGGUUAAGGUCAAGACAGGGUGGGCUGACUAUUGUUGCCAUGCUGACCUCCC